rnacentral:tmRNA from 1 species
GGGGGCGCACCGGUUUCGACGGGGACGCAGAAGUAAGAGACGCAUACCGAGGCCCAUGACCUCGUAAAAACGUGGAAACUAUUAACUGCUGACUAUCAGCCAGCUUUAGCCGCUUAACACCGGCUAACGUCCUUGACUAAUUCGCCUGUAGGUUAGUUAAAGGGCGUCACUUUUUGCAGGAUAGCCUCAAACUGCUGGCCCGGCGGCGAGAGGCGAAACUCAACGGGCUUGUGCCCCGGCCAGCUUGCAGGUUCCUUUAGGUCGGGGUACGAGACAAAUCGGAACCUGACAAGUAUGUAGACUCUCUUGCGGAACGUUUUCGGACGCGGGUUCGAUUCCCGCCGCCUCCAUAA